GAUGAACGCUGGCGGCGUGCCUAAUACAUGCGAGUCGAGCGAACGGACGAGAAGCUUGCUUCUCUGAUGUUAGCGGCGGACGGGUGAGUAACACGUGGAUAACCUACCUAUAAGACUGGGAUAACUUCGGGAAACCGGAGCUAAUACCGGAUGAUAUUUUGAACCGCAUGGUUCAAAAGAGAAAGACGGUGUUGCUGUAACUUAUAGAUGGAUCCGCGCUGCAUUAGCUAGUUGGUAAGGUAACGGCUUACCAAGGCAACGAUGCGUAGCCGACCUGAGAGUGUGAUAGCCCACACUAGAACUGAGACGGGGUCAUGACUCCUACGGGACGCAGCAGAAGGGAAUCCUCCGCAGUGGUCGAGAGCCUGACGGAGCAACCCCGCGUGAGUGAUGAAGAUCUUCGGAUCGUAAAGCUCUGCUAUUAGUUAAGAACAUCUGUCUCAGUAACUGUACCCAGCGUGACGGUACCUGAUCAGAAAGCCACGGCUAACUACGUG
rnacentral:rRNA from 1 species